ensembl:rRNA 5S_rRNA 5S ribosomal RNA
ACAUCCGGCCAUACCACCCUGAACACGCCCGAUCUCGUCUGAUCUCGGAAGCUAAGCAGGGUCGGGCCUGGUUAGUACUUGGAUGGGAGACCGCCUGGGAAUACCAGGUGCUGUAAGUG